AUAACAAGAAUAGAUUGUUGAUUUUUUUUAUUGUGAAUUACGGUGAUGAGACAGCAGUUUGAUCAUUUCCGGUAAUGAACCAUGUGGGUCCCACUGUUUGUUCUGAUAUGGCAUUUCAUCAUCUUCAGUGGGGGAUUUGUGUGGAUUUUUUAAGAUCAGUUUCUUGUGCCUUGUUUUACAUAGUUUACUGUUUUACAGUCAUUUGUGUCGUGAGAUUUUCCUCAUGUGGUCUCCGCAGUGUCAUCAACCUGCAAUUCGAUCCUUACACCUUGUCACCUCAUAAAACAGAUGGCCAAAUGCCGGAACGCGUUGACAGUAAAACACAGCGAGAAUAGGCAGACCCUGAUGAGGAUUCAGGAGGCAUUGGCGUUCGCUGCUUUGUAUUCUUUAAAAGGAUUCAACUCUUUUGAACUUAGACGAUACAAUCGCUCGGUCAGGAAGAAACUUCAAAGUUAAAGACGACGGGGAUUUUUGGUCUGCGAGUCGGUGAACACAUCUUGAACUGAUCACAAUUCAGACCAAAAGCAAAUCGUGUACUGUCCAUCCAUCGUGAUCGCGUUCUAACAGAAUUCAGGGCCAUCCUUGACCAGGAGUGCAGAUCUGAUGGCUACACCUCAAAAAGGAGCACCUUGUAAAAUUAUUUUUCCACUCGGGGCAAAAAAGUGUAAAAAAAAGGCAGGUGGCCCACCAGCGUUCAAGGACGGCAUUGCCACAAGAGUACUUUCACGCUGGGCCUGCUGACGCAAUGAACCACACCACUUCUCCCCAAGCCACCUUUUACUCCACAUUUCUUCAUAUUAUUUACUGCUGCAAUACUUUCUGCCCGUUCCUAACUUCCUACUUUUACCUCUUGCAUUCAUUUCCAGGCAAUGACUUCGGAGAAGGGGGAGUGGAAGACGUUUCGUAAGUCUUGUCUCAUCUACUUGGAUUUCUUGCCUGGCUCAUUCCUUCAAAAUCGUACGACCUGGUUGAAUAUUUUUCAAAUAUAUACAUUAAUACAAAUCAACAUCAAAUUUAUUAUUUAAGGAAAUAGGUGUUUACAGCACAUAUCAACUCUAUGUGAAAAAUUAUGUAAACUGCUAAA